CUUCAGUUUCAUGUAGGAUAUGUGGAGAACCAUGUGUUUUGCAUACAGCUAACACAGCAAAUAACAAGGGAAGAAAGUUCUACUUAUGUCCCUUGCAAGGAUGCAACUUCUUUUGUGUAUGUAAAACUAUAGUCUAAUCUGAUAUUUCUCAUAGUUCUUCUAGAAAAGCUAUCCAAUUUGAAUCAGUUAAAUUUAUUUUAUCUGCUAUUUUCUUCAUAGAAAAAUAAAUAAAUGAAAUAAGAUAAAAAUUGUUCGAUUCAAAUUAAAAUUGGAAUGUUAAAAAUGGAUCUGAAUACAAAAACAAGCCAACCUCUAGUGUUAAAACCUUCAUUGAGCUAGAUUUUAUUUAAUGCUGAUGGGAGUAUAACUUGAAUAAUGGCACCAAUGGAAGAAAUGCUCCCCCAUGGAAAAGUUAGUGACUCGGCAUCUAAUCCUAGCACGAGGGGUGGCCGUGUGCAGAGUGGUGGACUUGCAACUGGUGGGACUUUUGUAUCAGCCACUGGUGAUCCUAUAUCUGGCAGGAGGUGUUACACAUGGUGGUCUAUCUCACUUUGCAAAUGCCUGUCUUCUAUUGUGGUUCUGAUAUGUUAUUCUUUAUUAAAUAUAUCCCGUGUGCACACACAUCUCUGUUUAAAAUAUGAGUUUCAUUGAAUUCAGUUAAGGACAGUUCACUAAAUAAAAUAUGGUAAAAGGAAAAGAAAUGAAUUGGAAAAUUGCAGAUUUUUCUUGGGUGAUUUUUCCAUUUCUCCUUUCCUCUGCAGUUUUGAUCUAAUGAGCUAUAAUGAAAUAUUGAAAUACAUGGUUCCAGAUUUUCCAGAAAGGAAUAUCAUUCUCAAAUGCUUUCAAUGAUCAAUUCAGGAUGAGAGGAAGAAAGAAGAGAGAUGAAAGUGUAAAUACAAUGCUAGAUGGAAUGAUGAGGGGCUGGGCAGGGACUCUUCAGGAAUUAUGGGAAAUCAAGCUGGGAAUGGCAUAUAUGGUCCAGG